GGUAGCGUGGCCGAGUUGGUCUAAGGCGUUGGAUUUAAGAAAAGGGUCUCCCCCCUUGCUUCCCAAUGAAGGUGACUUCGCGCGAGUUCGAAUCUCGCCGCUACCA
rnacentral:tRNA from 1 species